ACGGGAGGCAGCAGUGAGGAAUAUUGGUCAAUGGAGGCAACUCUGAACCAGCUAUCUCGCGUGAAGGAAUACGGCCCUACGGGUCUUAAACUUCUUUUAUAGGGGGAUAAAGUGAGCCACGUGUGGCUUUUUGUAGGUACCCUAUGAAUAAGCAUCGGCUAACUCCGUGCCAGCAGCCGCGGUAAUACGGAGGAUGCGAGCGUUAUCCGGAUUUAUUGGGUUUAAAGGGUGCGUAGGCGGUCCUUUAAGUCAGCGGUCAAAUGUCAGCGCCCAACGCUGGCCUGCCGUUGAUACUGGAGGACUUGAAUACACACAAGGAAGGUGGAAUUCGUCGUGUAGCGGUGAAAUGCUUAGAUAUGACGAAGAACUCCGAUUGCGAAGGCAGCCUUCUGGAGUGCGAUUGACGCUGAGGCUCGAAAGCGCGGGUAUCAAACAGGAUUAGAUACCCUGGUA
rnacentral:rRNA from 1 species